rfam:Populus trichocarpa scaffold_5_contig_124, whole genome shotgun sequence.
UGAUCUGUUUAAGGCAGAUCCUGAUCUAGUUAUGGCAGACUCACACUUAAUUGUUCAAAAUCAUCCAUGAAAACUACUGUAUGAACAAUAACUUUUAAUUUUUUU